GAUGAACGCUGGCGGCGUGCUUAACACAUGCAAGUCGAACGAAGCAUUUGCGACAGAUUUUUUCGGAAUGAAGUUGCUUAUGACUGAGUGGCGGACGGGUGAGUAACGCGUGGGUAACCUGCCUUGUACUGGGGGAUAGCAGCUGGAAACGGCUGGUAAUACCGCAUAAGCGCACAAUGUUGCAUGACAUGGUGUGAAAAACUCCGGUGGUAUAAGAUGGACCCGCGUCUGAUUAGCUAGUUGGUGAGAUAACAGCCCACCAAGGCGACGAUCAGUAGCCGACCUGAGAGGGUGACCGGCCACAUUGGGACUGAGACACGGCCCAGACUCCUACGAGAGGCAGCAGUGGGGAAUAUUGCACAAUGGAGGAAACUCUGAUGCAGCGACGCCGCGUGAGUGAAGAAGUAAUUCGUUAUGUAAAGCUCUAUCAGCAGGGAAGAUAGUGACGGUACCUGACUAAGAAGCUCCGGCUAAAUACGU
rnacentral:rRNA from 1 species